AUUGAACGCUGGCGGCAUGCUUUACACAUGCAAGUCGAACGGCAGCACGGGUGCUUGCACCUGGUGGCGAGUGGCGAACGGGUGAGUAAUGCAUCGGAACGUAUCCAAUAAUGGGGGAUAACGCACCGAAAGGUGUGCUAAUACCGCAUACGCCCUGAGGGGGAAAGUGGGGGACCGUAAGGCCUCACGUUAAUGGAGCGGCCGAUGCCUGAUUAGCUAGUUGGUGAGGUAAAGGCUCACCAAGGCGACGAUCAGUAGCUGGUCUGAGAGGACGACCAGCCACACUGGGACUGAGACACGGCCCAGACUCCUACGGGAGGCAGCAGUGGGGAAUUUUGGACAAUGGGCGCAAGCCUGAUCCAGCCAUGCCGCGUGAGUGAAGAAGGCCUUCGGGUUGUAAAGCUCUUUCGCAAGGAAAGAAAACUUAUCCCCUAAUACGGGAUGAGGAUGACGGUACCUUGAUAAGAAGCACCGGCUAACUACGUGCCAGCCGCCGCGGUAACAC
rnacentral:rRNA from 1 species